CACGUAGGGUGCGAGCGUUGUCCGGAAUUAUUGGGCGUAAAGAGCUCGUAGGCGGUGUGUCGCGUCGGCCGUGAAAACCUGCAGCUUAACUGUGGGCUUGCGGUCGAUACGGGCAUCACUGGAGUUCGGCAGGGGAGACUGGAAUUCCUGGUGUAGCGGUGAAAUGCGCAGAUAUCAGGAGGAACACCGGUGGCGAAGGCAGGUCUCUGGGCCACUACUGACGCUGGAGAAGCGAAAGCAUCGGGGAGCGAACAGG
rnacentral:rRNA from 1 species